GCUGGGUACAUUGGCUCGUGUCUGUAAUUCCAGUUACUCAGGAGGCUGAGGCAGGAGAAUCUCAAGUUCAAGGACAGCCUCAGAAACUUAGGGAGACUUUGUCUUUA
rnacentral:sRNA from 1 species